rnacentral:rRNA from 1 species
UACAGAGGGGGCAAGCGUUGUUCGGAAUUACUGGGCGUAAAGGGCGCGUAGGCGGCCUGUUAAGUCGAACGUGAAAUCCCUGGGCUCAACCCAGGAACUGCGUCCGAUACUGGCAGGCUUGAAUCCGGGAGAGGGAUGCGGAAUUCCAGGUGUAGCGGUGAAAUGCGUAGAUAUCUGGAGGAACACCGGUGGCGAAGGCGGCAUCCUGGACCGGCAUUGACGCUGAGG